AUUCGAACGGGCGACCAUUUGGAAACAUCGUGCGCUGUUGGUUUAGAAACCCAGUUUAAACGAUCGCAAUAAUCGAUAUUAAUUAAAUAACAAAUAGCGAUACACGUUGGAAUAGGUGAAACGAUACUUGGACCGGUUAAAACGCCAUCGAUGUUUCCUCGAAACGAUUCAAGGGAUCGUAAAAAUUCCGAGAAACUACUUGGGGCUCGCACGAUAAAGUUCGCAAGCACUUUGGAAUAAAAAGGCAUGACUCGAGGGUUUGGCAACGCGGUCGAAGACAAUCUACCGACGAAAUUUCAACGGCACGGUGCCAGCAAGGCCUUGUUGACGGGCCUCUCCACGCUUUUUUUCCCCCUCCCCCUGUGGGGCGAGGUAGGAGGGACGAUUUAUUUCGCGUUACGCGGCGACGGAAGCAUCGGAAGAGGAGAGAG